rnacentral:rRNA from 1 species
UACGUAGGGUGCAAGCGUUGUCCGGAAUUAUUGGGCGUAAAGAGUUCGUAGGCGGUUUGUCGAGUCUGCUGUGAAAUUUCGGGGCUCAACCCCGAACUUGCAGUGGGUACGGGCAGACUAGAGUGUGGUAGGGGAGACUGGAAUUCCUGGUGUAGCGGUGAAAUGCGCAGAUAUCAGGAGGAACACCGAUGGCGAAGGCAGGUCUCUGGGCCAUAACUGACGCUGAGAAGCGAAAGCAUGGGGAGCGAACAGG